UGGUCAAGUUAUUAAGGGUGCAGGGCGGAUGCCUUGGCACUAGGAGCCGAUGAAGGACGUGAUAAGCUGCGAUAAGCUUCGGGGAGUUGCACGUAAACUUUGAUCCGAAGAUUUCCGAAUGAGGAAACUCACUUAGAGUAAUGUCUAAGUAUCAUUAAGUGAAUACAUAGCUUAAUGAGGGGAACUCAGGGAACUGAAACAUCUAAGUACCUGAAGGAAGAGAAAGAAAUUCGAUUCCGUAAGUAGCGGCGAGCGAACGCGGAUUAGCCCAAACCAAUAAAGUUUUCUUUAUUGGGGUUGCGGACAUAUCAUAACGAAGAGGUAUCGUAAUUGAAGAGGUUUGGAAAGACCCACCACAGAAGGUAAUAGUCCUGUAUGUUAAACGAGAAGACUUUAGAUAUGAUCCAGAGUACCACGGGACACGUGAAACCCUGUGGGAAGCAGGAGGGACCACCCUCCAAGGCUAAAUACUACCUAGUGACCGAUAGCGUAUAGUACCGUGAGGGAAAGGUGAAAAGAACCCCGGGAGGGGAGUGAAAUAGA
rnacentral:rRNA from 1 species